GACGAACGCUGGCGGCGUGCUUAACACAUGCAAGUCGAACGAAGAGCGACGGAAGCUUGCUUCUAUCAAUCUUAGUGGCGAACGGGUGAGUAACGCGUAAUCAACCUGCCCUUCAGAGGGGGACAACAGUUGGAAACGACUGCUAAUACCGCAUACGAUCUAAUCUCGGCAUCGAGGAUAGAUGAAAGGUGGCCUCUACAUGUAAGCUAUCACUGAAGGAGGGGAUUGCGUCUGAUUAGCUAGUUGGAGGGGUAACGGCCCACCAAGGCGAUGAUCAGUAGCCGGUCUGAGAGGAUGAACGGCCACAUUGGGACUGAGACACGGCCCAGACUCCUACGGGAGGCAGCAGUGGGGAAUCUUCCGCAAUGGACGAAAGUCUGACGGAGCAACGCCGCGUGAGUGAUGACGGCCUUCGGGUUGUAAAGCUCUGUUAAUCGGGACGAAAGGCCUUCUUGCGAAUAGUGAGAAGGAUUGACGGUACCGGAAUAGAAAGCCAC
rnacentral:rRNA from 1 species